AUUGAACGCUGGCGGCAGGCCUAACACAUGCAAGUCGAGCGAGCGGCGGACGGGUGAGUAAUGUCUGGGAAACUGCCUGAUGGAGGGGGAUAACUACUGGAAACGGUAGCUAAUACUGCAUACCAUCAGAUGUGCCCAGAUGGGCUUAGCUAGUAGGUGGGGUAACGGCUCACCUAGGCGACGAUCCCUAGCUGGUCUGAGAGGAUGACCAGCCACACGGGAACUAAGACAGGGUCCAGACUCCUACGGGAGGCAGGAGUGGGGAAUGUGGCACAAGGGGCGAAAGCCUGAUGCAGCCAUGCCGGGGGGGUGAAGAAGGCCUUCGGGUUGAAAAGCACUUUCAGCGGGGAGGCGUUACCCGCAGAAGAAGCACCGGCUAAUUCCGUGCCAGCCGCCGCGGUAAUUC
rnacentral:rRNA from 1 species